AUUGAACGCUGGCGGCAUGCCUUACACAUGCAAGUCGAACGGUAACAGGUUAAGCUGACGAGUGGCGAACGGGUGAGUAAUGUAUCGGAAUGUGCCCAGUCGUGGGGGAUAACUACUCGAAAGAGUGGCUAAUACCGCAUACGACCUGAGGGUGAAAGCGGGGGACCGUAAGGACUCGCGCGAUUGGAGCGGCCGAAAUCAGAUUAGCUAGUUGGUGGGGUAAAAGCCCACCAAGGCGACGAUCUGUAGCUGGUCUGGGAGGACGACCAGCCAGACUGGGACUGAGACACGGCCCAGACUCCUACGGGAGGCAGCAGUGGGGAAUUUUGGACAAUGGACGCAAGUCUGAUCCAGCCAUGCCGCGUGCGGGAAGAAGACCUUCGGGUUGUCAACCGCUUUUGUCAGGGAAGAAACGAGUUUCUCUAAUACAGAGACUUAAUGGCGGUACCUGAAGAAUAAGCACCGGCUAACUACGUGCCAGCCGCCGCCAUAAAAC
rnacentral:rRNA from 1 species